UUUUGUUUCUAUUACCUUCAUUUCUAACAAGUCAUUUCAUGUGACAGCUUAUAUGUUUUAUAGGCAAGAACUAAUUAUAGGCAUGCUACAUUGUGCUGAAAUAUAAUUCAAGAGUGAGGGCACCCAUUUUUAAAACUCUGUUCUUGUAGGUCAAAGAGGCUUUAAUAUCCUAUUAGAGAAUCACUCAAUCUGAAAUUUAAACUGGUGGAUGAGGGCCCAAGAACAAAGUUUUAUUCUCUAAUGGUGGCUAAUUACUUCAUCUUUUGUGACCUGGAGCUACUUUGCCUAGAUCAAUGAUCGAAUUUAGAUGAGCGGUGAAUGAAUUUAGACCUUUUUUUUUCCUUUGAAAGUAAUGUUGCCAAAUUAAUGCUUGAAAACUUUUAGAUUAUAGUUGUAUGCAUGUUGAUUUCUAUAUAGUUUCUUUCUAUAGUGCUAAGUAUUUUGAAUAACUUCUACUAUUCAGUGUGCUGUUGAAUCUCAAUUUGAGGAUGUAAACGAAACUCGCCUGUUGCCUCAAAUUUAGAGUUUGCACUGGCAAAAAUAUGUUAGUCAAUAUAUUAGGAUAUCCUUGGCAGUAGUUCCUGAGGCGUAGAAGUUCAUUCAAAGUUAAUUGCUUGGGCAUUAACCAUAUCUGGCUCAACUGUGUGCUUUAGUGGAAAUAUGAGGCUAUAUAGUUUAAAACCUACCCCUUUGACCUUAAUACAAAUUUGGGAAGGAAAUUGGGGUGAAAAUGAGUAAAAUUAACCAUCUGUCCAUAAUACAAUUUGA
rnacentral:misc_RNA from 1 species